rnacentral:lncRNA from 1 species
GAAGUUAGAUGAGUGGAAGUCAGCAAGUGAGUACAAUAGAAGUUUCUAAAGAUGGCUUUUGAAAAUUCUACUUAAAACACUGCUAUCAACAGAAUGACCAAUGUUCGUUCUUCAUAUCUCAAGUUGGUGACCG